GAUGAACGCUGGCGGCGUGCCUAAUACAUGCAAGUCGAGCGAACAGACGAGGAGCUUGCUCCUCUGACGUUAGCGGCGGACGGGUGAGUAACACGUGGAUAACCUACCUAUAAGACUGGGAUAACUUCGGGAAACCGGAGCUAAUACCGGAUAAUAUAUUGAACCGCAUGGUUCAAUAGUGAAAGACGGUUUUGCUGUCACUUAUAGAUGGAUCCGCGCCGCAUUAGCUAGUUGGUAAGGUAACGGCUUACCAAGGCAACGAUGCGUAGCCGACCUGAGAGGGAGGAGGGGCACACGGAGGAGAUGACCCGAAGCGGACGCAAGAGGGAGGGAGCAGGGGGGGAUCGGAGGCAAAGGGGGAAGGACUAAAAAAACCUGGUAGAAGGAGUGAAAAAAGGCGUAAGAACGUAAAAAUGUGUUAAUAGAGCAAAACAAAAAAGAAAGGAACAAUGCAGGGCUAGAAGGAGCGUAAUCAGAUAGCCAGGGCAAACUACGUG
rnacentral:rRNA from 1 species